rnacentral:rRNA from 1 species
AGUGAACGCUGGCGGUAGGCCUAACACAUGCAAGUCGAACGGCAGCACAGUAAGAGCUUGCUCUUACGGGUGGCGAGUGGCGGACGGGAGAGGAAUACAUCGGAAUCUACUUUUUCGUGGGGGAUAACGUAGGGAAACUUACGCUAAUACCGCAUACGACCUACGGGUGAAAGCAGGGGAUCUUCGGACCUUGCGCGAUUGAAUGAGCCGAUGUCGGAUUAGCUAGUUGGCGGGGUAAAGGCCAACCAAGGCGACGAUCCGUAGCUGGUCUGAGAGGAUGAUCAGCCACACUGGAACUGAGACACGGUCCAGACUCCUACGGGAGGCAGCAGUGGGGAAUAUUGGACAAUGGGCGCAAGCCUUAUCCAGCCAUACCGCGUGGGUGAAGAAGGCCUUCGGGUUGUAAAGCCCUUUUGUUGGGAAAGAAAAGCAGCAGGUUAAUACCCCGCUGUUCUGACGGUACCCAAAGAAUAAGCACCGGCUAACUUCGUG